UACGUAGGGUGCGAGCGUUGUCCGGAAUUAUUGGGCGUAAAGAGCUUGUAGGCGGUUUGUCGCGUCUGCCGUGAAAUUUCGGGGCUCAACCCCGAACUUGCGGUGGGUACGGGCAGACUAGAGUGUGGUAGGGGAGACUGGAAUUCCUGGUGUAGCGGUGAAAUGCGCAGAUAUCAGGAGGAACACCGGUGGCGAAGGCGGGGUCUCUGGGCAACAACUGACGCUGAGGAGCGAAAGCGUGGGGAGCGAACAGG
rnacentral:rRNA from 1 species